GGUCAAGCGAAUAAGUGCAUGUGGUGGAUGCCUUGGCGAUCACAGGCGAUGAAGGACGUUGCAGCGUGCGAAAAGCCACGGGGAGCUCGCAAACAAGCUUUGAUCCGUGGAUGUCCGAAUGGGAAACCCGGCCCGCAAGGGUCACUCCCACCUGAAUACAUAGGGUGGGUAGAGCGAACCCGGUGAACUGAAACAUCUAAGUAGCCGGAGGAACAGAAAUCAACCGAGAUUCCGAAAGUAGUGGCGAGCGAAAUCGGAAGAGCCUGCACAAUUUAACCAUUACGCUAGCAGAGCGGUCUGGAAAGACCGGCCAUAGUGGGUGAUAGCCCCGUAUGCGAAAGCCUGAUGGUGGAACUGAGUGUGCGACAAGUAGGGCGGGACACGUGAAAUCCUGUCUGAAGAUGGGGGGACCAUCCUCCAAGGCUAAAUACUCGUGAUCGACCGAUAGUGAACCAGUACCGUGAGGGAAAGGCGAAAAGAACCCCGGGAGGGAGGAAAUAGAUCCUGAAACCGCAUGCAUACAAACAGUGGGGGCCCUGCUUCAAAGCACCUUCGAAACUCUUUCGAGGAGCAUCGCGCGGCGAUGCGACUCAAAAAAAAAUAAAGAAGGGGUGAAGCCUUCGAGGUUCUUUCGAGGAGCAUCGCGCAGCAAUGCGACUCAAAAGGUUUAAGAAGGAGUGGAAAUGGAUAAGCAAUAGCUUGUUCAUUUGGAGGCGGGUGACUGACGAUUCGAGCGCGAGCGAGAAGCGUUAGGCGGCCCUGCGAGGACACCCGGAGGGUGUUUGAAGCAGGGGGUGACUGCGUACCUUUUGUAUAAUGGGUCAGCGACUUACAUUCAGUGGCGAGCUUAACCGAAUAGGGGAGGCGUGGCGAAAGCGAGUCCGAACAGGGCGAUUCAGUCGCUGGGUGUGGACCGAAACCAGAUGAUCUACCCAUGGCCAGGAUGAAGGUUGGGUAACACCAGCUGGAGGUCCGAACCCACUACCGUUGAAAAGGUAGGGGAUGAGCUGUGGGUAGGGGUGAAAGGCCAAACAAAUCUGGAGAUAGCUGGUUCUCUCCGAAAGCUAUUUAGGUAGCGCCUCGUGUAUCACUUCUGGGGGUAGAGCACUGUAAUGGUUGUGGGGGUCAUUGCGACUUACCGCGCCAUAGCAAACUCCGAAUACCGGAAAGUGUGAGCACGGGAGACAGACUUGGGGUGCAACGUCCUGAGUCGAGAGGGACACAACCGUGGCCGCCGAGUAAGGUGCCGAAGACACAGUUAAGUGGGAAACGAAGUGGGAAGUCAUAGACAGCCAGGAGGUUGGCUUAGAAGCAGCCAUCCUUUAAAGAAAGCGUAAUAGCUCACUGGUCGAGUCGUCCUGCGCGGAAAAUGUAACGGGGCUCAAACUGUGCACCGAAAUCGCGGAUCAGCAUGCUCCUUUUACUUCAUUGAGAUGGCUCGCUUGGGCGAGGCUAAUUGAAGAGGUGAAGUAAAAGGAGUGUGCUGAUGGUAGGAGAGCGUUCCGUAGGCCGUUGAAGGUGGGGUGUGAACCCUGCUGGAGGUAUCGGAAGUGCGAAUGCUGACAUGAGUAGCGAUAAAGCGGGUGAAAGGCCCGCUCGCCGAAAGCAAGGUUUCCUGCGCAACGUUCAUCGGCGCAGGGUGAGUCGGCCCCUAAGGCGAGGCCGAAAGGCGUAGUCGAUGGGAAACAGGUUAAUAGUCCUGUACCUUUAUGCAAUGCGAUGGGGGGACGGAGAAGGUUAGGUGGGCCGGGUGUUGGACGUCCUGGUUCAAGCGUGUAGGCGUGCCCGAUAGGCAAAUCCGUUGGGCUUAGCCGAGGCGUGAUGACGCAAGGCUCUUCGGAGUCCCAAGCCACUGAGACCCCGCUUCCAGGAAAAGCCUCUAAGCUUCAGUUGCAUGAAGACCGUACCGCAAACCGACACAGGUGGGCAGGAUGAAGAUUCUAAGGCGCUUGAGAGAACUCAGGAGAAGGAACUCGGCAAAUUAGCACCGUAACUUCGGGAGAAGGUGCGCCCCGGUAGAGUGUAGCGGCUUGCCCGUGAAGCGCGAUGGGGUUGCAGUGAAAUGGUGGCUGCGACUGUUUAAUAAAAACACAGCACUCUGCAAACACGAAAGUGGACGUAUAGGGUGUGACGCCUGCCCGGUGCCGGAAGGUUAAGUGAUGGGGUGCAAGCUCUUGAUCGAAGCCCCGGUAAACGGCGGCCGUAACUAUAACGGUCCUAAGGUAGCGAAAUUCCUUGUCGGGUAAGUUCCGACCUGCACGAAUGGCGUAACGAUGGCCACACUGUCUCCUCCUGAGACUCAGCGAAGUUGAAGUGUUUGUGAAGAUGCAAUCUACCCGCUGCUAGACGGAAAGACCCCAUGCACCUUUACUGUAGCUUUGCAUUGGACUUUGAUGAGACUUGUGUAGGAUAGGUGGGAGGCUUUGAAGGCGGGAUGCUAGUCCCGCUGGAGCCGUCCUUGAAAUACCACCCUGGUGUCAUUGAGGUUCUAACCUGGAUCCAUUAUCUGGAUCGGGGACCGUGCAUGGCAGGCAGUUUGACUGGGGCGGUCUCCUCCCAAAGGGUAACGGAGGAGUUCGAAGGUUCGCUAGGUACGGUCGGACAUCGUACUGAUAGUGCAUUGGCAAAAGCGAGCUUGACUGCGAGACGGACAUGUCGAGCAGGUGCGAAAGCAGGACAAAGUGAUCCGGUGGUUCUGUAUGGAAGGGCCAUCGCUCAACGGAUAAAAGGUACGCUGGGGAUAACAGGCUGAUGACUCCCAAGAGUUCAUAUCGACGGAGUCGUUUGGCACCUCGAUGUCGGCUCAUCACAUCCUGGGGCUGUAGCCGGUCCCAAGGGUAUGGCUGUUCGCCAUUUAAAGUGGUACGUGAGCUGGGUUUAAAACGUCGUGAGACAGUUUGGUCCCUAUCUGCAGUGGGCGUUGGAGAUUUGACGGGGGCUGCUCCUAGUACGAGAGGACCGGAGUGGACGCACCUCUGGUGUACCGGUUGUGACGCCAGUCGCAUCGCCGGGUAGCUAUGUGCGGAAGAGAUAACCGCUGAAAGCAUCUAAGCGGGAAACUUGCCUGAAGAUGAGAUCUCCCGGAGGCUUGACCUCCCUGAAGGGUCGUGGAAGACCACCACGUUGAUAGGCCGGGUGUGGAAGCGCAGUAAUGCGUUAAGCUAACCGGUACUAAUUGCCCGUGCGGCUUGAUCCU
rnacentral:rRNA from 1 species